rnacentral:rRNA from 1 species
CACGUAGGGGGCGAGCGUUGUCCGGAUUUAUUGGGCGUAAAGAGCUCGUAGGCGGUUCACUAAGUCGGGUGUGAAACCUCCAGGCUCAACCUGGAGACGCCACCUGAUACUGGUGUGACUAGAGUCCGGUAGGGGAGUGUGGAACUCCUGGUGUAGCGGUGAAAUGCGCAGAUAUCAGGAGGAACACCGGUGGCGAAGGCGGCUUGCUGGGCCUUACCUGACGCUGAGGAGCGAAAGCGUGGGGAGCGAACAGG